rnacentral:rRNA from 1 species
UACGUAGGGUGCGAGCGUUAAUCGGAAUUACUGGGCGUAAAGCGUGCGCAGGCGGUUUUGUAAGCCAGAUGUGAAAGCCCCGGGCUUAACCUGGGAAUGGCAUUUGGGACUGCAAGGCUUGAGUGCGGCAGAGGAGACUGGAAUUCCUGGUGUGGCAGUGAAAUGCGUAGAUAUCAGGAGGAAUACCAAAGGCGAAGGCAGGACUCUGGACAGUUUCUGACGCUGAGGCACGAAGGCCAGGGUAGCGAACGGG